rnacentral:rRNA from 1 species
AUUGAACGCUGGCGGCAGGCCUAACACAUGCAAGUCGAGCGGCGGCGGACGGGUGAGUAACGCGUACAGAACUUGCCUCACAGGUAGGGACAACAUUUGGAAACGAAUGCUAAUACCUAAUACUGUGAGAGAGCUUUGCGUCCCAUUAGCUAGUUGGAGAGGUAACGGCUCACCAAGGCGAUGAUGGGUAGCCGGCCUGAGAGGGUGAUCGGCCACCAGGUGACUGUGACACGGACCUUACUCCUACGGGAGGCAGCAGUGGGGAAUAUUGGACAAUGGACCAAAGUCUGAUCCAGCAAUUCUGGGUGCACGAUGAAGUUUUCGGAAUGUAAAGUGCUUUCAGUUGGGAAGCGGUACCAACAGAAGAAGUGACGGCUAAAUACGUGCCAGCAGCCGCGGUAAUAC